rnacentral:misc_RNA from 1 species
AGGUGAACCUGCGGAAGGAUCAUUAAAGAGACGUUGCUCUUCGGGGUAUACCUCCCACCCUUUGUAUACCAUACCUUUGUUGCUUUGGCAGGCCCGUCCUCGGACCGCCGGCUCCGGCCGGCCUGUGCCUGCCAGGGGACCUCAAACUCUGUUUGUUAAUGUCGUCUGAGUACUAUAUAAUAGUUAAAACUUUCAACAACGGAUCUCUUGGUUCUGG